GAUCAGACGCCAUGUUCUUUUUAACCUCAAUCUUUAAUUGUUGGAUGGUUUGUUUUGAUAUUGGUUGUCAGAUUUCGGAUUGCUACUAUUAUACUGUGAAAUUAAUUUGCAGUGGAAAAUUGAGGUAUAAAAUAUUUCUAUUGGUUUCUUUAUUCUUAUAAUUUUUACAAGAGAAAUUGAAAAUGGAUUUACAACAGAAAGGCGUGAAAUUUUCGAAGUUCAAAGUUUUGUACUUUCCAGACCUGCACAACGAAUUACCUAUUUGAAAAAUAGAAUAUGGUUAGAAAUUGCUGAUGUAAUAGAGGAUUCAAGUACCAUUUACAAACAAAAUAUUGAAGAGAAUGUGCUCAAAGGAAAUGCAUAUGAAUUAUUUUUUGUUGACCAGGAUGGAACAAUUCUUUGGAACCUAUAGUUAGAAUAAGUUAGUUAGGCCUAGUGAUGUACCAGCCAGAAGUAGAGGAUGACAAAGAAAAUCAACUAUGAAUAAUAUUCCAUGGAUAUGAUUCAUGUAUGAUGUAGUAGCCUACAGAAGAAAGAGAUGGACUAAUCUAAGAAAUAUAUUCAUUUUU